rnacentral:rRNA from 1 species
AGGACGAACGCUGGCGGCGUGCUUAACACAUGCAAGUCGAACGAACCUUCGGGUUAGUGGCGAACGGGUGAGUAACACGUGGGCAACCUGCCCCGAGCUCUGGGAUAACACCGGGAAACCGGUGCUAAUACCGGAUAUGACCAGAGAAGGCAUCUUCUCUGGUGGAAAGUUUUUCGGCUCGGGAUGGGCCCGCGGCCUAUCAGCUUGUUGGUGGGGUAACGGCCUACCAAGGCGACGACGGGUAGCC